AACCCUCAAAGUAAAUCUUUCGUUCAUUCGAUUGAUUCUAUUUUGGAUUUGGAGGUCUUGCAGAUCCAUGUCUGCUCCUCUCAAAAGCAUUAGCUGGAUCCUCCGUGAGCUCGGUUCCACUCGGUGUGAUAAGUAUCACUCGCUGAGGACACUGUAAAAAGUGGCCGGGAUUGCAGAUGAACUGCUUCUUAAUCGUCUAUUGGUUUAGACAAUUGAACUUUAUG
rnacentral:misc_RNA from 1 species